UCUCAUUUUCUCUCGGUCACUCUCAUAUAUCUUCUCUCAAAUUCUCUCAAAAUCUGUUGAACUCUCUCCCUUUCUACCGUGGAAAAACACACCACACCACCUUCAUUUCUAAACGUUUUAUCAAUGAACAAACAUCACAUCGUGCUAAUCUUGUCCCCACAAACCCAGUUAUGGGGUUUGUUUCGUGAACAACCUAACUAAGGAACCGUGAGCUUCAAAAUGGGCCAAGAGUUUCCCAUCUAUUUCAGAUAGUUUCCAGCCAAUUUUUGGACUUCAAAUAGAAAUUCCAGCGAAAAUUGCCAGAUUCCGACUGCUGCUGUCCACACAACCGAUGACGGAGGAAGGUUGAAGGAAGAGGAAUAUUUUGUUAGGACCCUCAGGUAUAAACUCUGAGAUUCCCAUCAAGACUAUCCCACGCUUAGCAGAACAAGUGAUGGCAUAAGGCGGCUCGUGGUCGGCCAAUAGUGGCUUACGGUGACGUGUGGCAAUAGCCCGACAUCGCAUCCUUUGUCUUUGUCGAAUUUCGCUAAAUAGUCCGGAACCUGAUCUGUGUAAGAUUUUGUUAAGUGGUCUGUAAUCGCAUCCUUUGUCUUUGUUGGUCCGUUUGUUCCUUGAAGUCGGUCUAGAAUGUGGAAGCUUAAGAGUAGUAUGCUUUAGUCGAACUGCAUCCCUCUAGCCCUAGUUCUCUGUGCUUUUAUGAACUAUAGAUUAAGAACCUUUGUGGUUUGAGUUAGAAAGGCUGAUGGAUGUAUGUGUUAUUCUUUCGGGAUUGUCAGCGGAUUGUUUAUGGUUUUAUAAAAUAUGAUUUUAUGAUUGAUGUUUGUAAACUGUGAUCUAUGGACUUGUUUUAUGGUUCUCAUA